UGAGAUCUGAAAGAAUCCAAGGACGUCAAUAUGAUAGUUGUAUAUGAUCAUUUUGUAAUCUGGGUGGAGGAAGUGCAGGGGUAGAAUGGUGAAUCUAAUACAUGAAUUGCCCACUCUCUGCAUGUUUCUAGACGUAGCACGAACAUGUUGUGAGCAGCUAGGUGGAGGACGAAGAGAGGAUAAAGGCCCUCCUUUUGAGAAAAGACCCUGAAAUUGCAUGUCACUUAUGCCCGCAUUUCAUUGGCCAGGUCACACCCGCAAGAAGACUGAGAAAUGUAUUUCAUUCUGAGUAGCUACGCAUCUCGCCCAAACACAGGCCUUUUACUUCUACGUUGGAGAAAAGUUGGUUCAGCCGACAAUGUACUACUAUAAAGUAAUUAAAUAUUUUGGUGCAAAGAAUAUUUGAUGUAAUGGAAAAUACGCAACACAUGUUACUGAAUGAAAAUUUUUCAAAGGGCCAGCUGCAUGCAGCAGAUUAUUACCUAGUCAAUGUGGAACACGGCCAACCGCUGGGGAGGCAUCGGACAUUAUGCCAUCAUGUCAAGCAGUCGCCAAGACCAGCCCUUUCCCCUGGAGCCCGUUAACAAUUAGAAUGUUGUGGAUUG